CUUGUUUCUUUUUUAUUUAGAGUAAGUGUGACUUUUACUUAGAAAAUCAAUAUACAUUUCGGAAAUUGAAACAAGAGUUGGAAAAAUCAGCACCAGCAGAAACACUUCAAGUCAUCCAACAGACAGUAGACCUUAAUGCUAUCACCAGUGCCCAGUUGUACGUGAGACAGCUGACGUUUGAGACCCUCCACCUCUGUGAUAAAUAUAAAAUCUGUGAUUCUAUUCCAGAACUACUCAGCUCACUGGAUGAGGCUUUGGAAGUUGAUGCUAAGAGGUGUCUGGCAUCAAAUGGUGAGAGCUGGGAGCAGCAUGAUUCCAGUAUUAAAGACAUGAUCAGGCUACAGAUGAAGG